UACGUAGGGGGGCAAGCGUUGUCCGGAAUCAUUGGGCGUAAAGCGCGUGUAGGCGGUUCGGUAAGUCUGCUGUGAAAGUCCAGGGCUCAACCCUGGGAUGCCGGUGGAUACUGUCGGACUAGAGUACGGAAGAGGCGAGUGGAAUUCCCGGUGUAGCGGUGAAAUGCGUAGAUACUGGGAGGAACACCAGUGGCGAAGGCGGCUACCUGGACCGGAACUGACGCUGAGGCGCGAAAAGCGUGGGGGAGCAAACAGG
rnacentral:rRNA from 1 species